rnacentral:lncRNA from 1 species
UGAUCCGCCCGGCUCAGCCUCCCAGAGUGCUAUGAUUACAGGUGUGAGCCACUGUGCCUGGCCAUAUAUUUAUUUAUUAUUAUUUUUUGAGACAGAGUCUCCCUCUAUUGCCUAGGACGGAGUGCAGUGGCAUAGUCUCGGCUCACUGCAACCUCUGCCUCCUGGAUUCAAGCGAUUCUCCUGCCUCAGCCUCUCAAGUAGCUGGGACAACAGGCUCAUGCCACCAUGCCCGGCUAAUUUUUUUAUAUUUUCAGUAGAAACAGCGUUUCACCAUAUUGGCCCGGCUGGUCUUGAACUCCUGACCUCAUGAUCUGCCCACCUCGGCCUCCCAAAGUGCUGGGAUUACAGGCAUGAGCUGCUGCACCCGGCCUGUAUUUUAUUUUAAAACAGAGAUGGGGUCUUGCUAUGUUGCCCAGGCUGGUCUUAAAUUCUUGGCCUGAAGUGAUCCUCCCUACUAGGCCUCCCAAAGUGUUGGGAGUUCAUCGACCACCAAAGAGGCUGCCUUUGCUAAGGGAGUUAUAAUUUUUUUUUUUUUUUGUGGGGGGUACAGACAGAAUCAUACUAUGUUGCCCAGGCUGGUCUCGAACUCCUGGGCUCCAGUGAUCCUCCCUUUUCCUAUGUUUAGAUUAUUGUCUUAGAUUCUAAACAAAUUGCUAUACAAAGGGA